rnacentral:rRNA from 1 species
UACGUAGGGGGCAAGCGUUGUCCGGAUUUAUUGGGCGUAAAGAGCGUGUAGGCGGCCAGACAGGUCUGCUGUGAAAACUCGAGGCUCAACCUCGAGACGCCGGUGGAAACCGUCUGGCUAGAGUCCGGAAGAGGAGAGUGGAAUUCCUGGUGUAGCGGUGAAAUGCGCAGAUAUCAGGAAGAACACCCGUGGCUAAGGCGGCUACCUGGACCGGUACUGACGCUGAGGUGCGAAAGCGUGGGGAGCAAACAGG